rnacentral:rRNA from 1 species
ACCAGACUCCUACGGGAGGCAGCAGUGGGGAAUAUUGCACAAUGGGGGAAACCCUGAUGCAGCGACGCCGCGUGAGUGAAGAAGUAAUUCGUUAUGCAAAGCUCUAUCAGCAGGGAAGAAAAUGACGGUACCUGAGUAAGAAGCCCCGGCUAACUACGUGCCAGCAGCCGCGGUAAUACGUAGGGGGCAAGCGUUAUCCGGAUUUACUGGGUGUAAAGGGAGCGUAGACGGCAGUGCAAGUCUGGAGUGAAAGGCGGGGGCUCAACCCCCGGACUGCUCUGGAAACUGUGCGGCUGGAGUGCAGGAGAGGUAAGUGGAAUUCCUGGUGUAGCGGUGAAAUGCGUAGAUAUUAGGAGGAACACCAGUGGCGGAGGCGGCGUACUGGACGGUAACUGACGCUGAGGCGCGAAAGCGUGGGGAGCAAACAGGAUUAGAUACCCUUGUAAAU